rnacentral:rRNA from 1 species
GAUGAACGCUGGCGGCGUGCCUAACACAUGCAAGUUGAACGAAGCAAUCAAGACAGAAUCCUUCGGGAGGAAGAUUUGAUUGACUGAGUGGCGGACGGGUGAGUAACGCGUGGGUAACCUGCCUUGUACAGGGGGAUAACAGUUAGAAAUGACUGCUAAUACCGCAUAAGCGCACAGUACUGCAUGGUACAGUGUGAAAAACUCCGGUGGUACAAGAUGGACCCGCGUCUGAUUAGCCAGUUGGCAGGGUAACGGCCUACCAAAGCAACGAUCAGUAGCCGACUUGAGAGAGUGAUCGGCCACAUUGGGACUGAGACACGGCCCAGACUCC